rnacentral:tRNA from 1 species
UAUGACAGAUUAUAUGUGAUGGGUUUAAACUCCAUUUAUAAAGGAAUAUCCUUUUUUUAGAA